GUUUUAGUAAUUUAAUAAAAAAUAUUGGUCUUGUAAACCAAAAAUAAGAGUCUCUUCUAAAACU
rnacentral:tRNA from 1 species